rnacentral:misc_RNA from 1 species
CCUGUUCGAGCGUCAUUAUGACCACUCAAGCCUAGCUUGGUGUUGGGGUUCGCGGUUCCGCGGCCCUUAAAAUCAGUGGCGGUGCCAUUAGGCUCUAAGCGUAGUAAUACUCCUCGCUAUAGGGUUCUAGUGAACACUCGCCAUCAACCCCCAAUCUCACGGUUGACCUCGGAUCAGGUAGGGAUACCCGCUGAACUUAA